rnacentral:rRNA from 1 species
UUUCUUCAUUUAAUCUUUAUUUUAAUUCAACAUCGAGGUCACAAUCAUUUAUUUUAAUAUGAUCUUAAAAAAAAUAUUAUGCUGUUAUCCCUAAGGUAAUUAAUUCUAACAUAAAUUUUAUAAAUUUAUUCAUUUAACUUCAUAAAUUAAUGUUUAAUUUUUCUUAAAGUUUAUUAAAUUUAUAUAUCCUCCCAAUAAAAUAUAAAAAUUUUAAUUAAAUUAA